ACAGGCUUUCGUUGCAACUAGCUUCUCAGAUAAUUCAUAGGUCUACAGUGAAUUUUGAAUGCUGGUCACGUUGUAGAACCAGUACGAUAGGGGGCGUUUGGAUGCCACGGGCUAAACUUUAGCCCUGUCACAUCACACGUUCGAAUGCUAAUUAGGAGGAUUAAAUAUGAGCUAAUUAUAAAACUAAUAGCAGAACCCCUAGGCUAAAUCGCGAGACGAAUCUAUUAAGCCUAAUUAAUCCAUCAUUAGCGAAUGGUUACUGUAGCACCACAUUAUCAAUCAUGGAC
rnacentral:lncRNA from 1 species